UAUCAUGGCGGACGGGUGAGUAACGCGUAAAGAACUUGCCAUAUGGACAGGGAUAACCGAUGGAAACGACGGAUAAGACCUGAUAUAAUGAAUUAAUGGCAUCAUUGAUUCAUGAAAAAGCAAUGCCAUAUGAGAGCUUUGCGUCCUAUUAGCUAGUUGGUAGUGUAACGGACAACCAAGGCGAUGAUAGGUAGCCGGCCUGAGAGGGUGGACGGCCACAAGGGGACUGAGAUACGGCCCUU
rnacentral:rRNA from 1 species